rnacentral:lncRNA from 1 species
AAGGAGUUGGCCAAGAGCCAGCACCAGGCAUCAGAGGAAGGCAGCUGACUGCACUCGGCCACAUCCCAAAAGUGCCUGGAAGGGGAGGGAGGAAGCAGGCGCUUCAGAAGGCACUACUGUGUGUCAGGACUCAUGCUAGGAACGCUGUAACAGGGAGCAGUGAUGGAGUCCUUGAGGGAGCUCAGGAGGGGGAAUUGCACUGAAGAUUUGUCCCAUCGUGAAGCAAGAGCACUGGAACUUACACUCCACCAUCAGGCCCUGUCACAGGAGAACAAAGAAGGAAGGCAGAGGAGAUCAUGCUCCGGCCAGCAGGGAAUCUCCAUUUUUUUCAGCCUCAUACCUUGGAAAGUACAAAGGAGUGAGAGCUGGGACUACCAGCCAGAGGGUUCAUGGAGGUAGUGGGAGGGGAAGAUGGGUUCUGCAUGGAGCCACUCCAGGGACUUUUCUUCUGUCUCACAGCCUGACAAUCACCUCUAGCUGUUCUCAGUCCCAUUCUCAUCAAUGACCUCGUCUCCUGAUUUUGUACAAUAUCUAGGUGACCUUCUCUUCUUUCCAUCUUCAAACGCUUGAUCAUUGAUGCUCCCUUUUCUCUUCUCUCUCCUCCUGGGAAAAGAGAAGGACCAACAUCCCCCUUUCCCUUCCUCCUGUGCUGUCCCGACCCCUCUGAGACCUGGCUCUAGCAGUAAGUCCCUCUCUCUUCUGCAGCACCAGCCUCUGCCCAUCCCUGCCCUCUGCACACAAAGCUCUCACAUUGUCUGCACUUUAAGAACUUUUGUGGCAAACCCUGGCAAAUCCUGCCACUUGUUUCCACUCUUCUCAAAUGGCUUUGAGGUCAUCAUUGACCUAUCCCAUUUGACCCUGUCCUGUAUCUGAUGUUGUACCCUUUCUCCUUGAUCCCACUCUGGCAACUCUCCCACUCCCCUUUCUUGGAUCAACUGUCUUGCUCCUCAGUCUUGAUCAAUGCCUCCUUCUCUCUCUUUAGCCUUGGCCCUUUUUGGCCAGGGAAAUAAAUGUGAAAUACAUAAAGCUUCAUUUUAUCUUAUGAUUAUAGCUAUGUUGAUGUUACCCAAGACCUAAAAGUCACACUCUCUAAUUACACUUCCCUCCUGUGUUCUGGGUCCUCUUGGACCAGUCCUUACUCUGGCUCCCCUCCUGGAUGUCUCCCAGACUUCUAAUUAGAAUUACUGUUUCCUAUAUCAAGCUAAUUAUCUUUCCCACCAACCUCCUCCAUCCUUGGGUGAAAGCAUCACUUGGUUGCAAAAGUCAGAAAUCUGGGUUUCAUUCUUGCGGUAGGUAGAAUAAUGCCCCCAGGCCCCAGGUUUUGACAUCCGAAUCCCUGGGACUUUGCAGAUGUGAUUCAGUUUAGGAUUUUGAGAUGGGGAGAUUAUCUGGGAGAGCCUGAUGUCAUCAUAAGGUUCUUAUAAGAGGGAGGCAGGAGGGUUAGAGUGAGUAGUAAGAGAUGCAACAGUGGAAGCAAGAGGUUGGGGUGAUGUGGCCACAAGCCCAGGAGUGCUGACAGACAUCAGAAGCUGGAAGGGACAAGGAAUGGUUUCUCCUCUGGAGCCUCCAGAAAGAACCAGCCCUGCUGACACCUUGAUUUUAGCCUUGGAAGACUCAUUUUGGACUUCUGACCUUGAACGUUGUAAGAGAAUAAAUUUACAUAUUUUAAACUGGUA